GCCGUUGUCUACGUGGACACAUCUGACUGCCCCAGGGAGCUCCUACCUGGCUUGGCCGGGUCCUUCCUGCCCUCAGACCUGGAGCCAGGCUUGGAGAGCCUCCUGCGAGGCAUUGCCAAGGAGGGUCUCUUCCCCAACCUGGUUCUGCUGGAUCCAGCUGUGACUGUACAGACCCUGCGCUUGGCUCUGCCCCCCACCUGGACAUCCCAGUCUUCAA